rnacentral:tRNA from 1 species
GUGCUUGUGGUGUAGUGGUUAUCACAUCCGCCUAACACGCGGAAGGUCCCAGGUUCGAACCCUGGUAGGCACA